AUGGGCGCAAGCCUGAUGGAGCAACACCGCGUGAGUGAAGAAGGGUUUCGGCUCGUAAAGCUCUGUUGUUAAAGAAGAACACGUAUGAGAGUAACUGUUCAUACGUUGACGGUAUUUAACCAGAAAGUCACGGCUAACUACGUGCCAGCAGCCGCGGUAAUACGUAGGUGGCAAGCGUUAUCCGGAUUUAUUGGGCGUAAAGAGAGUGCAGGCGGUUUUCUAAGUCUGAUGUGAAAGCCUUCGGCUUAACCGGAGAAGUGCAUCGGAAACUGGAUAACUUGAGUGCAGAAGAGGGUAGUGGAACUCCAUGUGUAGCGGUGGAAUGCGUAGAUAUAUGGAAGAACACCAGUGGCGAAGGCGGCUACCUGGUCUGCAACUGACGCUGAGACUCGAAAGCAUGGGUAGCGAACAGGAUUAGAUACCCUGGUAGUCCAUGCCGUAAACGAUGAGUGCUAGGUGUUGGAGGGUUUCCGCCCUUCAGUGCCGGAGCUAACGCAUUAAGCACUCCGCCUGGGGAGUACGACCGCAAGGUUGAAACUCAAAGGAAUUGACGGGGGCCCGCACAAGCGGUGGAGCAUGUGGUUUAAUUCGAAGCUACGCGAAGAACCUUACCAGGUCUUGACAUCUUGCGCCAACCCUAGAGAUAGG
rnacentral:rRNA from 2 species